rnacentral:rRNA from 1 species
CGAGGACAAGUUAGUAAGGGCACUCGGUGGAUGCCUUGGCACCAGAAGCCGAUGAAGGACGUGGGAGCCUGCGAUAAGCCCCGGGGAGCUGGCAACCGAGCGUUGAUCCGGGGAUGUCCGAAUGGGGAAACCCGGCUGGGGUCAUGCCCAGUCACCGGCGCCUGAACACAUAGGGCGUUCGGAGGGAACGCGGGGAAGUGAAACAUCUCAGUACCCGCAGGAAGAGAAAACAACCGUGAUUCCGUGAGUAGUGGUGAGCGAAAGCGGAAGAGGCUAAACCGUGCAGGUGGUAAAGCUGGCAGGCGUUGCCUGUGCGGGGUUGUGGGGCCGUCCAGCUGGGGCUGCCAACCCGGCAGGGAGUGAGAAACCGUUGCUGAAGUCGAAAGGUCUGGAAAGGCCUGGCGGAGAGGGUGACACCCCCGUAGACGUAAGGCAGCGGCUCCCGGACGUGUCCCCAAGUAGCACGGGACCCCGGAAAUCCCGUGUGAAUCUGGCGGGACCACCCGCUAAGCCUAAAUACUCUCUGGUGACCGAUAGUGAACCAGUACCGUGAGGGAAAGGUGAAAAGUACCCCGGGAGGGGAGUGAAAUAGUUCCUGAAACCGGGUGCCUACAAACCGUCGGAGCGGCUGGCUCUCCUUGUGGGGGUUGGCUGUGACGGCGUGCCUUUUGAAGAAUGAGCCUGCGAGUUAGCGGCAUGUGGCGAGGUUAACCCGUGAGGGGGAGCCGUAGCGAAAGCGAGUCUGAAGAGGGCGUUGAGUCGCAUGUCCUAGACCCGAAGCGGGGUGAUCUACCCAUGGGCAGGGUGAAGCGCGGGUAAGACCGCGUGGAGGCCCGAACCCACCGGCGUUGAAAAGCCGGGGGAUGACCUGUGGGUAGGGGUGAAAGGCCAAUCAAACUCCGUGAUAGCUGGUUCUCCCCGAAAUGCAUUUUGGUGCAGCGUCACGUGUUUCCUGCCGGAGGUAGAGCACUGGAUGGCCUAGGGGGCCCACAAGCUUACCGAAGUCAGCCAAACUCCGAAUGCCGGUAGGUGAGAGCGUGGCAGUGAGACUACGGGGGAUAAGCUUCGUAGUCGAGAGGGAAACAGCCCGGACCACCAGCUAAGGCCCCUAAGCGUCCGCUAAGUGGAAAAGGAUGUGGAGUUGCUUAGACAGCCAGGAGGUUGGCUUAGAAGCAGCCAUCCUUUAAAGAGUGCGUAAUAGCUCACUGGUCGAGUGAUUCUGCGCCGACAAUGUAGCGGGGCUCAAGCGGACCGCCGAAGCUGUGGCAUUCGCACGUGAACCUGGCCCUUCGGGGUUGGGUGUGCGGAUGGGUAGGGGAGCGUCGUGUGGCGUGUGAAGCGGCGGGGUGACCCAGCCGUGGAUGCCACACGAGUGAGAAUGCAGGCAUGAGUAGCGAAAGAGGGGUGAGAAACCCCUCCGCCGGAUGACCAAGGGUUCCAGGGCCAGGCUAAUCCGCCCUGGGUAAGUCGGGACCUAAGGCGAGGCCGACAGGCGUAGUCGAUGGACAACGGGUUGAUAUUCCCGUACCGGUCUUGCCGCGCCCAUGUCGAAUCCGGUGAUGCUAAGCGCCCGGCCCCGCGCUGGUCCUUCGGGACUGGUGGUGGGUGUCCGCGCGUGACCCGAUCCGGUAGUAGGCAAGCGAUGGGGUGACGCAGAAGGGUAGCUCUACGCGGCGAUGGUAGGCCCUUUCGGGCUGAACCGCGGGCAAGGGUGUAGGGCGAGGCGUAGGCAAAUCCGCGCCUCAUACAAGCCUGAGACCUGAUGCCGAGCCGAUUGAGGCGAAGUGAGUGAUCCCAUGCUGCCGAGAAAAACCUCUAGCGAGUGGCAAGGCCGCCCGUACCCGAAACCGACACAGGUGGUCAGGUAGAGAAUACCAAGGCGAUCGGGCGAACCGUGGUUAAGGAACUCGGCAAAUUGCCCCCGUAACUUCGGGAGAAGGGGGGCCGGAUCCGUGACGGAACUUGCUUCCUGAGCGGUGAAGGUCGCAGAGACCAGGCCCAAGCGACUGUUUACUAAAAACACAGGUCCGUGCGAAGUCGCAAGACGAUGUAUACGGACUGACGCCUGCCCGGUGCUGGAACGUUAAGGGGACGAGUUAGCUGACCCUUCGGGGUUGGCGAAGCUCUGAACUUAAGCGCCAGUAAACGGCGGUGGUAACUAUAACCAUCCUAAGGUAGCGAAAUUCCUUGUCGGGUAAGUUCCGACCUGCACGAAUGGCGUAACGACUUGGGCGCUGUCUCAACCACGGACCCGGCGAAAUUGCACUACGAGUAAAGAUGCUCGUUACGCGCAGCAGGACGGAAAGACCCCGGGACCUUUACUACAGCUUGGUAUUGGCGGUCGGUUCGGCUUGUGUAGGAUAGGUGGGAGACUGUGAAGCCUGGACGCCAGUUCAGGUGGAGUCGCCGUUGAAAUACCACUCUGGUCGUACUGGCUGUCUAACCUCGGUCCGUUAUCCGGAUCAGGGACAGUGCCUGGCGGGUAGUUUAACUGGGGCGGUUGCCUCCUAAAAGGUAACGGAGGCGCCCAAAGGUUCCCUCAGCCUGGUUGGCAAUCAGGUGUUGAGUGUAAGUGCACAAGGGAGCUUGACUGUGAGACCGGCGGGUCGAGCAGGGACGAAAGUCGGGACUAGUGAUCUCGCGGUGGCAUGUGGAAGCGCCGUGACUCAACGGAUAAAAGGUACCCCGGGGAUAACAGGCUGAUCUUGCCCAAGAGUCCAUAUCGACGGCAUGGUUUGGCACCUCGAUGUCGGCUCGUCGCAUCCUGGGGCCGGAGCAGGUCCCAAGGGUUGGGCUGUUCGCCCAUUAAAGCGGUACGCGAGCUGGGUUUAGAACGUCGUGAGACAGUUCGGUCCCUAUCCGCUGCGCGCGUAGGAGACUUGAGAAGGGCUGUCCCUAGUACGAGAGGACCGGGACGGACGAACCUCUGGUGUGCCAGUUGUCCCGCCAGGGGCACGGCUGGUUAGCCACGUUCGGAAGUGAUAACCGCUGAAGGCAUCUAAGCGGGAAGCACGCUUCAAGAUGAGGUCUCCCACCGGGUCAACCGGGUAAGGCCCCCAGCAGACUACUGGGUUGAUAGGCCAGAAGUGGAAGCGAGGACUAGCGACUCGUGAAGCUGACUGGUACUAAUAGGCCGAGGGCUUGUCCUC